rnacentral:rRNA from 1 species
UACGGAGGGUGCAAGCGUUAUCCGGAUUUACUGGGUUUAAAGGGUGUGUAGGCUGGACUUUUUAAGUCAGCGGUGAAAUCUCCGGGCUCAACCCGGAAACUGCCAUUGAUACUAUUAGUCUUGAAUGUUGUUGAGGUGGGCGGAACGGGUCAUGUAGCGGUGAAAUGCAUAGAUAUGACCCGGAACACCGAUUGCGAAGGCAGCCCACUAAGCAACUAUUGACGCUGAGGCACGAAAGCGUGGGGGAAUCAAACAGGG